rnacentral:lncRNA from 1 species
UGCUUAUUUAAUGUUACAAGUUACACCGUAUUUUUUGCCGUUUUCUAUAUGUCCGUUUCAUGCUUUAUAGAUUAAAUUUUAAUUUACCUUACUAGUAAUGUGGAUUUUAAUGGCAUGCAUUCCUCAUUUUAUCAUAAAAAAUUUCUUAUUCUUAUUCUUAUUUAGAAAUAUUUUAAACACGGUUGUAUAAAACUUUUUAAAACGCGCAUUUUACA